CAUGGGACCUGCAGGAACCAACCAUGUGGACAAACGAAAAAUGCCUUUUGUCUGCACAUUGCCGUGACCCUACAGAAACAUGGAGGACUCUGUCUGGCUUAGCACAGCUGGCUGAGUCUGAUCGUUCCCCUCCACACAAC